GCUGGGGCUGGCCUGGAAUCCAGACCUGGUCUGCUCAAGGCAAAAAUUCAUUUAUUGCUCAAGGUGUUGCCUGUCAGAGCAUGUCUGAGUCACCACUGAGGAUGCAGAACCAUCUGAUGGGAAAUGAGAAAGAAGAUCCUAAUUUUAAAUAUCCAUUGCCCCUGCUUCCUGUGCAGCAAAGAGACAAAUUUCCAGCAGUCAAAAAAUAAACCAUCCGCAGUUCAAGAAAAAAUUGAACCCUUUCUAAUCAUUGCUAUAAAAAGUAAUUGUUGCAUGUGGGUUCCUUGUCAAGAUUGGAAGGCUGACCAGUAGGUCCCCGAGAAGCCUCUAGUGAUGUGUCUGCUGGAUUGGAGGUGUAUCACAGGAUGUCACAUUUAGCAGCUGAUUGUGAAAUGCUUGAGAACAGGAAUUAUAGGAACAUUAUUUAAUGCUAAGUGUUAUCCACAUCAUAUCUGAAGCUUGAACAUGCCAGGAAAACAUCCUUCAUAUACUGCAAAUAAUCUAUCCGAGCUUUCAGGAUCAAUCAUGAAUUGGCUGGGUCAUCUGACUUGUCCGUCUUCUCGUCUCGCCGUGUUCCCUGUCGGAUCGACUCGCUACUGCUGCUCCCGACUGCGCGCAAGGCUUCAGUACUAGCGUAAGGCCUUUGGCUCUCGGACAAUCUUUCUCUCAAUUAUUGUUGAUUUAUACUGUAUUAUAGUGUGUUAUCUUACAUUCCGAUACUAUAUUUAGUAAAUUAGUUU
rnacentral:lncRNA from 7 species